UCCGUUGCGUUUCUCUAACGAUCGUUCAUUCACUCAUAAAUUUCGUCGACUCUUUUAUGUCUUCACAAUUUAUAUUUAAAAUAGUUGAAAUAUAGUUAUAAAUUAGGUAAUUUUAGGUCGAUUUUAAUUCCUUAUCAUUUUUAUAUCAACGUUUCACAUUACAACACAAUCAUGAGUUCUGGUGGUACUCGCGUGUAUGUCGGCGGAUUAGUAGAAGGCAUCAAGAAGGAAGACCUCGAAAGAGAAUUCGAUAAAUACGGAAAACUAAACUCCGUUUGGGUGGCACUCAACCCUCCGGGUUUUGCAUUCAUAGAAUUUGAGAACUUGCAGGAGGCUGAGGAUGCGUGUAGCGCGAUGAAUGGAUUCGAGAUGUUAGGCGCGACCCUCAAAGUAGAGAUCUCUAGGAAGCGAGAUGGGCCCCGCAGGGGUGGCGGCUUCCGUGGAGGACGCGGCGGCGGCAACUUCAGGGGUCGCGGCUUCGGCGGCCCGCCCGGUGGUGGCAACAGAUCCUUCAACUCGUACGGCGGCGGCCGGCCCUACAAUCGCAACAACCAGCGCGAUGAGUACGGCUCCGGCGGCGGUAACUUCAGAUCUAGGUCGCCAUUGUCUCGAUAUUAAUUUAGUAUUAGUUUUAUGUUAGGUGUUAGUGUUAUCGUAAUCUGAAGCCUUCCUAAGUGUUAAAUUCAAUGUCUGGUAAAAACUGGGGGUUCAAUAUUAAUACUAGGAGGUGUUCCAUUGAUGUCUCAAGGAAUUAGAGUUCCUUGGAUUUCUGAUCUCGGGUCAUUUGAUUUGUCGAGAAGUUAAUGCAAGAACAAUCCUUCAGUGAUUACUUAACAUUCUGCCUAAGCACCCUAAUUGCUAAGUUUCUUUAAAAAAAUAUAUGAUUAUAUAAUUCA